rnacentral:rRNA from 1 species
GACGAACGCUGGCGGCGUGCUUAACACAUGCAAGUCGAACGGAAAGGCCCUGCUUUUGUGGGGUGCUCGAGUGGCGAACGGGUGAGUAACACGUGAGUAACCUGCCCUUGACUUGGGAUAACUUCAGGAAACUGGGGCUAAUACCGGAUAGGAGCUCCUGCUGCAUGGUGGGGGUUGGAAAGUUUCGGCGGUUGGGGAUGGACUCGCGGCUUAUCAGCUUGUUGGUGGGGUAGUGGCUUACCAAGGCUUUGACGGGUAGCCGGCCUAAGAGGGUGACCGGCCACAUUGGGACUGAGAUACGGCCCAGACUCCUACGGGAGGCAGCAGUGGGGAAUAUUGCACAAUGGGCGGAAGCCUGAUGCAGCAACGCCGCGUGCGGGAUGACGGCCUUCGGGUUGUAAACCGCUUUCGCCUGUGACGAAGCGUGAGUGACGGUAAUGGGUAAAGAAGCACCGGCUAACUACGUG